AUUGAACGCUGGCGGCAUGCCUUACACAUGCAAGUCGAACGGUAACGCGGGGCAACCUGGCGACGAGUGGCGAACGGGUGAGUAAUGCAUCGGAACGUGCCCAGUAGUGGGGGAUAGCCCGGCGAAAGCCGGAUUAAUACCGCAUACGACCUACGGGUGAAAGCGGGGGGCCGUAAGGCCUCGCGCUAUUGGAGCGGCCGAUGUCAGAUUAGGUUGUUGGUGGGGUAAAAGCCUACCAAGCCGACGAUCUGUAGCUGGUCUGAGAGGACGACCAGCCACACGGGGACUGAGACACGGCCCAGACUCCUACGGGAGGCAGCAGUGGGGAAUUUUGGACAAUGGGGGCAACCCUGAUCCAGCCAUGCCGCGGGCGGGAAGAAGGCCUUCGGGUUGUAAACCGCUUUUGUCAGGGAAGAAACGCUCUGGGCUAAUACCCCGGGGUAAUGACGGUACCUGAAGAAUAAGCACCGGCUAACUACGUGCCAGCAGCCGCCGUAAUAC
rnacentral:rRNA from 1 species